CCUACGUGUGGCAGCAGUGAGGAAUAUUGGUCAAUGGGCGCGAGCCUGAACCAGCCAAGUAGCGUGAAGGAUGACUGCCCUACGGGUUGUAAACUUCUUUUAUAAAGGAAUAAAGUGAGGCACGUGUGCCUUUUUGUAUGUACUUUAUGAAUAAGGAUCGGCUCACUCCGUGCCAGCAGCCGCGGUAAUACGGAGGAUCCGAGCGUUAUCCGGAUUUAUUGGGUUUAAAGGGAGCGUAGAUGGGUUGGUAAGUCAGUUGUGAAAGUUUGCGGCUCAACCGUAAAAUUUCAAUUGAUACUGGCAGUCUUGAGUACAGGUGAGGUAGGCGGAAUUCGUGGUGUAGCGGUGAAAUGCGUAGAUAUCACGAAGAACUCCGAUUGCGAAGGCAGCUUACUAAACUGCCACUGACAUUGAUGCUCGAAAGUGUGGGUAUCAAACAGGAUUAGAUACCCUUGUAGUC
rnacentral:rRNA from 1 species